UCAGCUUUCAAGUCCAUUUCCUGGAAACACAACAAAAGCAUGAAAUGAAGCAUUUCUUAGAGGCAGCAAUUCUCCUGAAGUGUUCCUUGUGGAGUCAGUUUGGAAAAGAGGUGAAUUUUACAUCAGUGAAUCACAGCUCCCCACACUGCCCCAUCCCCAUCACCUUGUGACCUCAGAAAAACCAUCAAACUUUUAAGGGAAGAGUUCAAGAAAAGGAGAUAAAAACAUCAGCUCAUGUUGACUCUGCUCAGAGAUUUUCUGGGAGGAAAAUGAAGCUUUCCUGGAAAUAACAUCCCUAUUUGUGGGGGGAUAGAAUAUAAGAAAAUAAAGACGGUGUAGAAAGUAAUCUCACCCCUAAGGAGCUGCAGCUGGGGCAAUUACCAAAGAUUAGGAACAGGCCUGACUUUAACAGGGCUACAGAUGUGACCAGUGAGAAGAUGCUAUAAAAGAGUGGGGUGGGUGGUGGAGAAGGGAACUGGAGUCAGUUGGGUGCUUUGUGAAGAAGAAAGAGUCAGUGCUUGGAGGAGAAACACCAAGAAAGUGUGAAACUUUUGUGAUGAGACAACAGCAUGGAACCCCUGCAAUAAGAUGGCAACACCUAUUCCUUCUGGAUGCCUCAGCACUCUUGAUUUGCUCCCUGAGUGUGUCCUGUGCCCUGGCACAGUGCUGCCCUUGUCACAUUGCUGAGCAUUGUCACCUUACUCAGCUUGGAUUUGUCAUAGGGAACGUGCUUCUCCUUGGUGGCCAUGAUGAUCCUGCCAGUGAACCCCUCCUGGCGAAGAGUCUCUGCACACACCAGGGCAGCCACACCUGCAGGAGAGCUCACCUCAGCCCUCUGACACCUCGCUGAGGAGGAGGAGGAGGUCGGUGCUCCCUGGAGAGGAGAGCAGCAGCUCCCAGCGUGUGUGGAGGGGGCAGAGCUCGGAUCUCAGAUCCCUUCACUGACCUCCCCCCAGCAGCAGCAUCGUGUUCUUGUUGAGGAGGCACCUCCUGCUUGUGUCCUUCACCCUCUGGCUGCUUUCCAGGUCCUGCAAAAAAAAAAAAAAAAGAGAAAUGCUCAAGUCACACGCAGCCCAAGGCACUGCCUGUGCUCAGUGACUGCAGAGAAAAAAAAAGCAAGAAAUGGAGCAGGGGAAGAUCAUUUAAGGCAGAUUUUGAUGCAGGGUGGUGACUUGCUCCUACAAACCCCCCCUGCAUCACUCCCCUCAUCCCAGGUUUUUUGGGAGAAGCAUCUCUGGGUACUCACCUGCUCCUGCCAGGGGGGUUCAGGCACCUGUCCCCAGGUCAGAGAGCCACCACCGCUGCUGCCUGCGACUUUCUCCUGCGAGGUGACACCCUGGUGUCUCACAGAGCCGCCAGCCCACGGCUGGUGAUGCUCUCCCCUCCUUGCACAACGCUCCCACCCAUCAGGAGAUGCAGCUCCUGGCAGAGGCUGCCUGCCAGGCAGCGUUAUCUGAUUUCUGCAACUGGCCCGGGCCUCAUUAAAGGGUUUUUCUCCAUUGAUUUUAAGGAACAUGAAGUUUCUAGCAGCUCUGCAUGUGCCUUGCAUCCCAGCUCUGCUCCUGGUUCAGCCACUGAUGUCCAGGCACACAAUUCCAUCAUUCCCUGGCCCGUGAAGGAUGCCUUGGAGCAGGGUGCUUCUUGCAGGGCUAUUUUUAUAACAAAGUGGGAGUUGCAAAAAACCGGGAGUAACACCUACACUGUUUGUGUCUCCUCUUGUGUUCUUAUCUCUAUUUCACAGUCAGUAUGUUUCACAACUUAAAAUAUGCCUCAAAAAAUUAAAGGGGGGGAGAAGUUACCAACAGCGCGCUUCCAUCAUCUCCCUUGCAGAACAGGAGAUCUGCAGCAGGGGGGAUAAAAAUCCUCUGGUGGGUAUCACCUGCAGGAGAAGGCAUGUGCAGGAUGCUGGGGAAGUGCAGGAUGGGUUAUUUGGGAAGCAGUUAAAUUCAUGGGACCCUCCAAGCCAUGAGCAGGGUACCAGGACCCCGCUGUGCCCAGCCCACAGGCUCUGCACACCCACGAUGGCCACAGGAAUGAGGGAUUUUCUCACAGCAGCAAUGAGCAGCUUCUGGGCUCUGCCCUCCUGGCCAGGAGCCGGAAUGUGAAGCAAUUUGGCUGCCAAAUGUCCGUAUUUAAACUCUGUGUAAUUAUUCCCCAGGAGCGCGUUCCCACGUGGAGGAGCAGCAGCCCUUGCCGGGCAUUCUCUGACUCAGCAGAAACGGCUGGAAAAGUGUUUGCUCACUGAUGGAAAUGUGCAGAGAGCAGGCAAAGAGGUGUGCAGCCUUGGGAUGAGGCAGGUGGAGCUUGAUCCUGUGCAGGGAUGUUUGCACUGCAAGGCUGAGCAGCAGAUUUGGCUGUUGGAUGCUGCUGGAUGCAGCCGAGCGCCCAGGAAAGGGUUUUGGAAAGGGCAAAGGAAAGGGCAAACCAAAAUGCUUUGACAGAGGCAAAGAUGAUAGAAUGGAUAUUAGAAAGGUGAUAGACAAAGGAUACAAAGUGGAAAAGGGCUUUGGAUGUCAGGGGGAAGCUGGGGGCUGGCUGCAGGGAUGUGAGUGUGUGUCAGGAAUACACAACGUGCCCUCGAGGGACUGGGAUGGGACUGGAGGCAGCUUUUCAGGAAGAUGCUCUGUAAACAUCUUUUGGCCUUUUUUACGUAAACCAGAGGUGGUUACUCAGAGGGUUUUAGACCUUUUCUUGUAGCACAAGUCAGGAUUAAACAUAGGAAGGAAGAGAGGAAAGGGAAGUGGUGCCCUCAACCACAAAGAGAGCCCAGGUGGGCACCAGACAUCUCUGAGCAGAUCUGCCACCCACAUUGUGCUGACUCACACGAGCUGCUGAGCUGACCUUGGGUUUUCUCAGACACCUUCCCUUCUGCUGUGCCUCCCCAGAGCUGCUGAGCUGACCUUGGGUUUUCUUAGACACCUUCCCUUCUGCUGUGCCUCCCCAGUGCUGAAAACCCAAGUUUAGAGGCGAGGAUUUAAGGAGUGUAACUUUCCCGCCUUCAAGUUCCCACCACCAUCAGCUGGAGUAGCACAUUUUUUCAUGCCAUGGCUGUGUGGAUUCAUCUUUUUCCCACCUUUUCCCCAGCUCAGGGCCCUUGCCUGCUCUGCCACUGAUUUUAACAAGCAGCACCCACGGAGUGAAACUGCUCAGCUGCAGGAAGAGGAAGCGAGGUGAAACCUGCAGCAGAGCUGGAGUGAUUAAUGGGGCACUGCUCUCAGAACAGCUUGGUUUGUGAUAUUAAUAACGAGAGAAUUCAGGAGGGAACCCAACCUGUUCCAAGCUGUGGAGCCAGCAGCAGCAGGAGAUGCAGGGGGGAAGCUCCUGUGCUGGUAUUUGCAAGACAGGAGGAAUUGAGUGGGCUCAGAGGGUGUGUGGGGGUUUGGGAUGUGCUUCCACCUUGGAGGAUUCAUUCUUAACCUGAAAUGCAAAACAAAACCCCAUGUAGUGGUAAAUGCAUCAUGAUGUAAUCAUGAAGCACAUACAUAUUCAUCAAAAAUUACUUAAGCUUGAGACUGGUGAAUUAAACAGGGGAAAAAAAUGUUUAUCCCACAAGGGAAGAAGACGGGGAAAAGAAAAAUUUAGUGAGAAUGAAUUUGCUUACAGGGUAAGAAUAAUUAUAUGUGAUGUUUCACAUUUUCUUCCUAAGCAUUCACGUCUGGUGAUGGUGAGAGAUGGGACACAGGCCUGGCAGACACCUGGCACCACUUCACAGUGAGCACUGGGGAAGGAAAGCAGGAACCUGAAACCUUACAAAUAACAGCACACUGACAGUUCAGAAAGUCAAAAACAUUUGGGGCACAGCAGCUGCAGAAAGCAGAGGGGAGCUGCCCAUGCUGCUGAGAUUGAAGGGGAUUUGCCACCAAUGGAAUUCUGUCCAUCCCAUGGCACACCUGUGCAGCUGGAGUGAGGAGGGAGCACAUCCUCUCCUCUGAGCCACUGGUCCAGCACAGCCCUGGAGGAGCAGCUGAGCCUGCAGCAUCCUUGGGGACACUCUGCUGUCAAAAAAUCCCUUGUGCCAAGUCCUGAGUUAAAAAAAAUCCUUCCAGUGCUGGGAAAAAGGAAGGGCAGAAGAAGAGCAUCCAGAUGAAGCUGCCCUGGGGUCAUUUAUCAAAGCAGGCUGUGCCUGGGUGGUUUGGGAGCAUUCCCACAUGCCAGGCUGCAGCUGGUGUCUGGCACCAGAACCUGCUGGUUCGGGGAAGCUCCCAGGGGACAUUCCAGGUAUUCCAGGAAUGAUUUUAGGAAGGAGGAGCAGCCUGGGCAGCAGAACACCUGCAGUGCUGGUCAAACCCUCUGGGGGGAAGGAAAAUGCUUCAGACCUGGGCAGGGUCACUGUGGUGCAAGCACAGGUGAUUUCCUCUGCCAGGUGAGCUCAGGUCCUGAGGUCAGGGCUCAAGUGCUGACUUUUGGCAUUUCUUGCCUCAAACUCUGUGGCUGAGAGACUAAAAUCCCUUUUUCCAGUGUCCACAGCAAGUUCUACCUGGAGAAUAUCCAGCUUCUCCACAUCAGGGAGUUGUUCCUGGCUGGAAGGGGUGGCUGCUCCAGUUUGAAUUUAUUUCGGCUCUCUCUACAGCUGCCUCUGCAAUGCAUGGGCAUGCUUUGCCAUGCAGAACCUGCAUUUUGCACAGCAGAUCCUUUCAGGAGUGUGGAGUUCCAGACUUCCUGGAUAUACAAAGCAUUCCUACAUCAUCUGACCUCUUAUGGCCUCAGCAGACAGAGUGGUGGCACAGUUUAGAGAGGCAUGGAGACAACAGCUAAUUAAAGUUUGGAAGCCAAACUGGAUUUGUUCUGAGCUCUUGGACUCCUCAGAUUACUUCAGGUGUGAGCCAGGUCUGGCAUUAGAUGAGCAGAUGGGUUUUAUGACUCCCUGGAUGCAGAGAGGCAGAUUAAGGGAGGGAAGCUUUGCAAAAACAGGAGCAGGACUUGUGCCGGGCUCCAGUGAAUCCUCUGUGGAAUCUGUGGGCAGAGUGGGCACCUCCUGAAGUAAGGGAUGGUGGAAGUGCAAAACCCAGAACCCCACCUAGGAGUAGUUGGGGGCCAUCUAGGGGGGACAGAGCUCAGCUGGCAGAAUUUCUGUGGUGGAUUAUCACUAAAUUUUUAGUUCAGUGCCAGCUUUUAAUUGUGGAAAAUGAGCUGUAUCUCUCCGAUACACUGCAGAGAAACUCCAGCCUGAGAAAGGGAGACAAAAACGAUUAUCUAGCUAUUGAAUAAAAUUCUGUACCCUCGAUUUACACCCCGAUUGCUGCUGGGAAGCUCCCAUUGUGGGAUUAUAGGAUGGACCUGGGCACGUCCUUGCUGGGAUCUGCAAGGAUUCCCCUGCCCUGCUGGGAGCAGGCACCGGCACCAGCCGGAGCCGCAUCCCCGCAGCAAACGAGGUCGUUUGGGGACAGCCGGAAAACUUCUGGAAAUCUGGGUGAAAAAGGCAGCGUCUCCAAAUAAGGUGGGGAUGAGGAAUCCCAUCGGAGCGGGCUCCCGGCUCUCCAGCGGGCGUGCAGGGACCUCUGGUGGCAGCCGAGCCCGAGAGUUCCCGUCCCUGCUCUUCCCUCCGGGUUCUUUUGGGACAAGCCUGGCCCCCGAGCCUGCGGCGUGUGGUUUGGAUUUUUUGGCCUGAUCUGGUGUCAGGGGACUUGUUUGUAACUGGGUUUGGACGUCUGCAGCUCCAAAACCGCCCCCGGUUAAUGCCAUUGCUGCAGAGGAAGGAAAAAGGCUGGAAUCGGGGUUGUAAGAAACUCAAUGGGAAAUAAAUUAAAUAAAAUCUGGGCUAAAACGACCCAAAAAAGUAGUUUAUAUGUAACUGUUGGUAGUGCUCUAGCAAUUGGGAUCAAAGUCCUUGAACCAGAGGCUCAAUUAAUCUCGGCUUAAAUUCCUGCCAUGCAGAAGUGGAAGGUAAAAGCUCUCCAGCCUCCAGAAACAUUUUAACUAUUCCUGUGCCCGAAUCCUGAACGUUCAUCUUUAGGACAAACACAAAUGGAGGAGCUCCUGAGGAAACAGGGCUGGAGCUGCAGGCAUUCCACAGCCUGGGAUUUUCCCUGCAGGAAGGUGAAGGCAGGAGUUGUCACCAGGGAAAAGGGCAGGCAAGAUAUUUUUUGAGGCUAAACCACCGCAGAUGACUUCUAAUUCGGAAACCGGCUCUGUGCAAUUUUAUCCUCAAUUAAUUGUUAAAUGAUUUUUCUCCUCAGUGCCCCGAGCAGCCCAGCACGUCUCCAAGGCAUGUCUCUCUUUUCCUCAGCACAUCAUCUGCUGAACAAAAAUGUCUUUGCAUUUGGUCUUCUCAGUAACAGAUUAGCCUGUGUGAUCCUUCCACUGCUAAUACACGAGAUUAUUUAAAAUCCCCUGAGCACUCAGGGCUGCCUAUUACUUCAGGCACUGUCUCCCUGCCACGUAACUGUUAUGAAAGUACAGUGCCUUGCCUGGCUUUUAAGCAAAUUUGUGCAGCAUGAAUAGAUGCUUUUUUACCAGUUGGGACUAUCACAGAAACACAGAAUCGUUUAGGUUGGAAAAGAACCUCACCCAUCUCCCAGUUUGAUUUAAUCACUCAGCCUCCCUUCCAUCAGUGUGUAUUUGAUGUUUUUGUGUGUCCAUCACCCCAAAGCCAGGACAGCAACUAAGAGCUGUCUCCACACUCUUGUGUUUCAGCGAAGAGGAAGUGGAAGAUUUCAUCCAAAAUUAAUACCUCAAAGCAGAGGUGGAGUUUGACAUUAAUCGGUGUGUACACGGUGACUCAGCCCGGCGGCAGGAGGGGAAGCGAGGGCUGCUUCUGCUGGAGACAUCAAAAAGCAACAAGGGAGCGAUCAAAUUACGGGAAGCUGGAAAAGCAGCGUAGUUGUAGGGUAGAACUAAAACUGUGGCUACGGGAUUGUGAAUUUCCACAACCUCCAGACAGCAGAGCUGGGGUAUCCCAGACUUCGGGGAGCUUUUCUCGGGAUCAGACAUGGGAUAUGGGAAUAAGGGAUAACAGUGCUGUGGGCAGAGCGUUUUUAGGCAAAGCAAUCAGUUUUUUUUCUGUGCUUGAUGUGCGAUCAGCCCCGGUGGUGUGGUGUGAUCUGGGGGAUCCUGAGCCGCGGUGAGCGGCGCUUGGAGAGUUCCUGCCCAAGGAAACAACGACGGGCAUCACCUGCCGGGG